rnacentral:rRNA from 1 species
GCCCCGGUAAACGGCGGCCGUAACUAUAACGGUCCUAAGGUAGCGAAAUUCCUUGUCGGGUAAGUUCCGACCUGCACGAAUGGCGUAAUGAUGGCCAGGCUGUCUCCACCCGAGACUCAGUGAAAUUGAACUCGCUGUGAAGAUGCAGUGUACCCGCGGCAAGACGGAAAGACCCCGUGAACCUUUACUAUAGCUUGACACUGAACAUUGAGCCUUGAUGUGUAGGAUAGGUGGGAGGCUUUGAAGUGUGGACGCCAGUCUGCAUGGAGCCGACCUUGAAAUACCACCCUUUAAUGUUUGAUGUUCUAACGUUGGCCCGUAAUCCGGGUUGCGGACAGUGUCUGGUGGGUAGUUUGACUGGGGCGGUCUCCUCCUAAAGAGUAACGGAGGAGCACGAAGGUUGGCUAAUCCUGGUCGGACAUCAGGAGGUUAGUGCAAUGGCAUAAGCCAGCUUGACUGCGAGCGUGACGGCGCGAGCAGGUGCGAAAGCAGGUCAUAGUGAUCCGGUGGUUCUGAAUGGAAGGGCCAUCGCUCAACGGAUAAAAGGUACUCCGGGGAUAACAGGCUGAUACCGCCCAAGAGUUCAUAUCGACGGCGGUGUUUGGCACCUCGAUGUCGGCUCAUCACAUCCUGGGGCUGAAGUAGGUCCCAAGGGUAUGGCUGUUCGCCAUUUAAAGUGGUACGCGAGCUGGGUUUAGAACGUCGUGAGACAGUUCGGUCCCUAUCUGCCGUGGGCGCUGGAGAACUGAGGGGGGCUGCUCCUAGUACGAGAGGACCGGAGUGGACGCAUCACUGGUGUUCGGGUUGUCAUGCCAAUGGCACUGCCCGGUAGCUAAAUGCGGAAGAGAUAAGUGCUGAAAGCAUCUAAGCACGAAACUUGCCCCGAGAUGAGUUCUCCCUGACUCCUUGAGAGUCCUGAAGGAACGUUGAAGACGACGACGU